AUUUAAAGAAGAGAAGAAACUAGUCAACGUGCUGGAUGCUGUUUUCAAGCCUGAAGUUCGCUGAUCCAGAGCAGUCUUUCUACAAACAUGUCUGAAGUCCAGCAGCUGAGGGAAAUGUUGAAACUCCAGCUAACGCCUGCUGAUGAAGGAAGGAUCGCAGACCAGGAAUAAGAAUUGUGUCAUUUAAAAGAAGAGAA